rnacentral:rRNA from 1 species
GAUGAACGCUGGCGGCGUGCCUAAUACAUGCAAGUAGAGCGAACAGACGAGGAGCUUGCUCCUCUGACGUUAGCGGCGGACGGGUGAGUAACACGUGGAUAACCUACCUAUAAGACUGGGAUACUUCGGGAAACCGGAGCUAAUACCGGAUAAUAUAUUGAACCGCAUGGUUCAAUAGUGAAAGACGGAUUUGCUGUCACUUAUAGAUGGAUCCGCGCCGCAUUAGUUAGUUGGUAAGGUAACGGCUUACAAAGGCAACGAUGCGUAGCCGACCUGAGAGGGGGAUCGGCCACACGGGAACUGAGACACGGUCCAGACUCCUACGGGAGGCAGCAGUAGGGAAUCUUCCGCAAUGGGCGAAAGCCUGACGGAGCAACGCCGCGUGAGUGAUGAAGUUCUUCGGAUCGUAAAACUCUGUUAUUAGGGAAGAACAAAUGUGUAAGUAACUAUGCACGUCUUGACGGUACCUAAUCAGAAAGCCACGGCUAACUACGUG